rnacentral:miRNA from 1 species
GUGGUCUCUUGGCCCCCAG